CACACACACACAAAUACAUAUACAUAAACAUAUUCACAGGAUACUCAACUUAUCUCUUUUCCUACAUCAGAUGUACAGGUGACAUUUCCACCUGGAUGACAGCACAUAAUCAGCAACACAGAGAUGCUCUUCAUCCGAGGGAAUGCCUGCCUGUUCUCAUUGUUACAUCAUCCCAGACAAUCACAUGUCAUUUACAUUCUAGCCCUAAGGAUUGCCUGCCCGUUCUCAUUGUUACAUCAUCCCAGAUGAUCACGUCAUUUACAUUCCAUCCCUAAGGAUUGCCUGCCUGUUCUCAUUGUUACAUCAUCCCAGAUGAUCACGUCAUUUACAUUCCAUCCCUAAGGAUUGCCUGCCUGUUCUCAUUCUUACAUCAUCCCAGAUGAUCACGUCAUUUACAUUCCAUCCCUAAGGAUUGCCUGCCCGCUCUCAGAUGUUAGAUAACCCCAGAUCCUUCCUGAGAGAGAAGGGGUGUAGUAUCUUCAGAUGGGCGUGUGGUGCCCUUCCUCACCCACGCCAACAAGAUGUUACUUCUUGUGGGGUCUUUGCCUUGAAAUUUGCUGAAUGUGUUCUGAAGGUGUCGAUUGUCUUUUCAAAUAUGGACAAAGAUGUUAACAUCAUGAGAGAAAUAGCAGAAAUAGCAGUCACUCCCCUCCGAAACACUGGUAUGUUCAAUUUCAUAUAAUUGUAUAUAAAAAAAGAUUUAUAUGGAUCUUUCAAGGUUAUCUUUGAUCCACAUUCUGACUAGAUGGCCACUAAAAUACAUGAAUUUCGGUAGGCAAGAAAAUCGAAGAAAAUUUCCUUAAUUUUGUCACUAGAGUCAAAUACUUUCUACAGAUCAAACUUCAUGUCAGGAUAGGCAACCGAAAUGAAUAAUUAAUGUAUGUGUGUUAUAUUAAACAGAGGAGGGAGUCAAAUGUAGGCAAGCAAUAAACAUUUCAGAACAACUACUAGUUGACACGGGAGAGAUGACGCAUUUUGGCGAAGAGACGUAUUUUAAUAGACUAAUACACUUGAAACAAAUAGCCAAACCGAAAACUGCAGACAUUACUAGUGCCCCCCUCUUCCCGCGAUCAAACCGCCAUUAAAAAAUAAAUAAAAUGAAACGCAGUGAUCACUGACAGCUGCCUUGAAGAACACACAUGUACAAUUAUUUCUGCUUCUAAGAUCAGUGAAAUAGAGGCUUAACUGACAACUGAGUGAAGAACAAAAAAAAGCAAGUAGCAGCAAUGAAGAAUUGAAUGAAGAAUUGAGUGAAGAAUUGAGUGAAGAAUUGAAUGAAGAAUUGAGUGCGUAGAAUUCUGGCAGGGGGGGGGCUUUUCUGCACAACAUCGGAAGUGAAGGCGGAGCCUCGGCUCUUUUGUCUUGUGAUUUUGGGCAGAGAGCCACGUGUUGAAAUAUAACGUCUCAGACCUCUACCUCCCUAAUCUACAAUAUCAGUAGACUAGACGUAAAUAUUCCCAUCUGGUUAUAUAUAUUCCCAACUUCGCCGGAUGUCUGUAAUCGACAAUAACGGAAGAAUCUACAAUGAAUAAGGUAGGUUGAUAUACAUUUAAGACAAGGGGCCUUUGUAGCCAACUUCCUGCUUUUACACAGCAUCCGUUUAACGGUCAAAACAAAUGCUAUGGGUAACAUACACUAUUAUUGCGGAUGUAGCGAAAUGCUAUUGACAUUUGUGCUGUUUUUGUACGUGAAAAUAAUGUAUUUGUUAUUUUUAAACUCGUUGGGAAGGUUCGUAAGCAACCAUUUCACUGUGAAGCCGCAUGCUGAAAGUUGGUGGCCAUUGGCAAAAAUCGCUCCGCCAUUUCCUUGUUGCAAAAAAAUAUAAUAGUUUACCUAAUUUCAGUUUAUGUGACAAAAGAAGCACGCACAGUAUAGAGAAUCAUUGUACCAUCUAAACCACUGUGAAAUAUAUUUUCAAUAACCAACAAUAUUGUUUUUUCAAGCUGGUGAACAAAACCAAGUAUACAGAACAAAAAAUACAAACGCGACAUGC